UACGUAGGGGGCAAGCGUUGUCCGGAAUUACUGGGCGUAAGGGCUCGUAGGCGGCCAACUAAGUCAGACGUGAAAUCCCUCGGCUUAACCGGGGAACUGCGUCUGAUACUGGAUGGCUUGAAUCCGGGAGAGGGAUGCGGAAUUCCAGGUGUAGCGGUGAAAUGCGUAGAUAUCUGGAGGAACACCGGUGGCGAAGGCGGCAUCCUGGACCGGCAUUGACGCUGAGGAGCGAAAGCCAGGGGAGCAAACGGG
rnacentral:rRNA from 1 species